AUCUCUGGUUCCUCAAGGCCCCGGGAAGCUGGGACAAAGGGCUCCUCUCCUCGCUCCAGGCAGGAGAUGAUGUCAGGCUUGUGAACGGGAAUCCCUGCUCAUGGGGAAAGUCCACAGCUGGAGAUGAUUCUCAAAGAAGAGAAUGAACUAUAAGGGAGAGCAGAUGCCCCAAAUUAUUCCUCCCUUUCUCUCUACCCAUGGCAUCCACAACAUCUGGAGAACAAAGGAAACAGCUUUGGACUGGAGGAGGGAUCCCGACGGGAAGAAAUGCAGCGAGUACGACUGCUGUAACCUGCUGAGAGAGACUGCUUUAAAUUCACUUGUUUAAUUAGGCAUUACACCGCUACCCCGAUAUAACGCGGUCCUCGGGAGACAAAAAAAUCUCACUGUGUUAUAGGUGAGACCGUGUUAUAUCAAAUUUGCUUUGCCCCCCCACCCCGUUCCUUGUUCCCUGACCACCCCCUCCAGAGACCCCCCCUCCCUAUUCACCCCCAGGACCUCACCCCCUACCCAAACCCCCUGUCCCCUGACUGCUCCGCCCCCAUCCACCCCCCGCCCCUGCUCCCUGACAGGCACUCACCGGCAGCGGUGGGAAGCAGAGCGGCGGAGCCCCAGUCUGCUCCACCCUGCCAGCUCCCAGCCACGAUGCUCCGCUUCCCGCCGUCGGUGAGUGCGGGGAGGUUGGGGAAAGGACGCCCCCUGCACUCACCUGCGGCGGGAAGAGGAGCGAGGUGGCCCUAGCCCGCUCCACUUUGCCAGCUCCCAGCCACGACGCUCCGCUUCCCGCCGUCGGUGAGUGCGGGGAGGUUGGGGAAAGGACGCCCCCCGCACUCACCGGCAGCGGGAAGCAGAGCGCUGCGGCUGGGAGCUGGCAGAGUGGAGCGGGCUGGGGCCGGGCUGCUCCACUUCCACCACUGCUGGCGAGUGCAGGAGGGAUCCCUUCCCCCAAGUUCCCUCCCCCGAGCGACAUGGCUGGGGUCGGGGACAGGGAAGCAGAGCGGGUUGCUCCCGGCCCCCUGCUAAUCCCCCGGGCCACUCUGGGACUGCGGAGUCCCCAAAAGUGCCCUCCCAAAGCUCCUGCUCCCCAGACCCUGGGCGGGGGGGGGGAGGAAAGCCCCUGACUGCCCCCAAGACCCUUUGCCCCUUAUGAAACCCCUUGGCCCCGGCCUGGUCCAGCACCCUUAACAGCGUGUCACAGCUUUACCGCGUUAUAUGCGAACUGGCGUUAUAUCGGGUCGUGUUAUAUCGGUGUAGUUGUGCUUUUCUUUUCUUUUCUUGUAACCAAUUCUGACUUUUAUGCCUCAUUACUUAUAUUCCCUGAAAAUCUUUUUGCAGUUAACAAACUUGUUUAUUGUUUUAUCUAAAACAGUGUGUUCCAACUGAGGUGUUUGGGAAACUCCAUGUGGGAUAGCAGGAUUUGUGCAUAUCAUUUUCUAUUAAUAAAAUGACGGGCUUUGUA